CUUUAACGGUGGGGACCACCUUAUGCACGGCUCAGAUGGUCCAAACACUCAAGUAUGUUGGCACGUGCGCUUCUUGUAAAGAUACGUGUGAAGAGCGGUGCGUAUGAGGCCAGCUCCCUAAUAGCGGCACCUGGAUUAAAAGGUAUGCAUGCCUCUCGCACGCACAUGAGAGAGCUGAUAAGGAAUUUCUUCGAGGUGGAGGACAGAAGAGUUCAUCCAAACAGCCUUUGAGAUUUUUCUCAGAAGAGCGACAGCAGCUGGCGUUUGGAGGAGGAAAAGCAGCGAGAAAUCCUAGGGUUUUAUCCGCUUCAAAAAGUGCUUUCAGUCCGGCAUUGCGAGCUAUAAAUGCCACGAUUUUUGCGUGGAAAAACCUCUGAGAUCGGCAUUUGAUGGUGAAAACGAUCGCACGCGUUUCGAUUUCUUGAAGGGAAUCGACGGCAGAUUGGAGGUUGAAUCCUGACCGUUGGAUUGAGAAUUCUGAAACGGACUGCUUCAGAUAGAGGGUCUUUAAACUCCAGAGAGCUAUUCUCAGCUGGAGAAGGGGAGGAAUAUGGUGGAGGUGGUGGUAGCUUGUAAUUCAUGGGCUGCCAUGAAAAUCUCUCUCAAGAGCAUUCUACUCUUCUUCAAUGGCUUUUCUGAGAAAUGGGUUGGUGGUAGAAGGCGCAUACACCGAAUCAUGGUGUAUCAUCUCCAUCUUUUUUCUUAGUAUGUAGUGAAGUGGUGCUGGUGUUAUCAAGUGAUAUUGGCGGGGACGGCUCAAUCUCUCUCUUUCAAAGGAAAAAAAAAAUGUCUACUGCAUUUAUAUAUAUACUACAGGUUUUUUUUUCUUUGACUUCUCUUUUUCUCUUGUAAUUUCGACGGUUGGGAUCUUGUUACUUGGCCUUUGUUUUGGUGUAUAUCUCUAGCAACACCAUUCUUUCUAGCAAAAUGAGGGAAAAACAAGAUUAAAUGCAACGACCCAGAUUGCAUUAUUGUGUG